AAACCACUAUGAAGAUUAUGUGCAUCGUGUUGGUCGCACAGGCCGAGCUGGUCGUAAAGGGUGUGCCAUCACAUUUAUUGCUGAGGAAGAUUCAAGAUAUGCACCAGAUCUGGUGAAAGCAUUGGAACUCUCCGAGCAGGUUGUUCCUAAUGACCUGAGAGCUCUAGCUGAUAGUUUCAUGGCGAAGGUGAAUCAGGGACUAGAGCAGGCCCAUGGAACUGGCUAUGGUGGCAGUGGUUUCAAAUUUAAUGAGGAAGAAGAUGAAGUGAGGAGGGCAGCAAAGAAAGCGCAAGCUAAAGAAUAUGGUUUUGAGGAGGACAAAUCAGAUUCAGAAGAUGAAGAUGAUGGUGUCCGGAAAGCAGGUGGUGAUAUCUCCCAGCAGGCAGCUUUGGCCCAGAUAGCUGCUAUAGCAGCUGCCACUAAAGUCAGUGCAGCUUCAAUCACAACUCCCAGCUCUGCUGCCCAACUACUUCCAAAU
rnacentral:misc_RNA from 1 species